rnacentral:rRNA from 1 species
CUGGUUGAUCCUGCCAGUAGUCAUAUGCUUGUCUCAAAGACUAAGCCAUGCAUGUCUAAGUAUAAGUGUUAUACAGCGAAACUGCGAAUGGCUCAUUAAAACAGUUAUAGUUUAUUUGAUAAUCGAAUUUACAUGGAUAACCGUGGUAAUUCUAGAGCUAAUACAUGCUGGUAUGCCCGACUUUUGCGGAAGGGCGGUAUUUAUUAGAUAACAAGCCAAUAUUCCUCUGGUCUAUUGUGGUGACUCAUAAUAACUGAUCGAAUCGCAAGGCCUUUGGCCGCGAUAAAUCAUUCAAGUUUCUGCCCCAUCAGCUUUCGAUGGUAGUGUAUUGGACUACCAUGGCGUUUACGGGUAACGGAGGAUUAGGGUUCGAUUCCGGAGAGGGAGCCUGAGAAACGGCUACCACAUCUAAGGAAGGCAGCAGGCGCGUAAAUUACCCAAUCCUGACUCAGGGAGGUAGUGACAAGAAAUAACGGACCGGUUCCUUCGGAUUCGGGAUUGCAAUGAGCCGAAUUUACACCCCUUAGCGAGGAUCGAUUGGAGGGCAAGUCUGG